rnacentral:tmRNA from 1 species
GGGCCAGUAAUGGUUUCGACAGGGAUCGUGAAGCUGGUGAAGCGAGUCGCAUGGUAAUGCGUUAAAUGGCCAAAUUAAAUUUAAACGCUGAAGAUAAUUUAGCAAUCGCUGCCUAAUGGCAGCAGUCCGACCUAGUGCACCUACACAUUAGGACCCGGGCUUCGAACAUGUAGGAAACGACACACGGUAAGCUUUGCCCGUGUGGGCGUAUCAUGAAGCUACGGAAACCGUAAGGGUGUUUGUUCCCGUGCGGCAGACGGAAUGUCAAAGAACAAACUACGCUCGUAGAAGAACAGGGGAUUGAUUUUUGGACACGGGUUCGACUCCCGUCUGGUCCACUA